GCUGUGAUGGCUGAGUGGUUAAGGUGUUGGACUAGAAAUCCACUAGGGUUUCCCUGUGCAGGUUCAAAUCCUGCUCACAGUG
rnacentral:tRNA from 1 species